AAUUAAAUUUUUUAUGUAUUAUUAUAAAAUAAUUAAAGUACCCAACAAACUGAAUUACCCUAAUAUUUUUAAGACAAAUUUUAAGAUUCUUUAAAUGUACUUAAAUAGAUAGGAAAAUUAAAGAAAAGAACUCAUUAAAACAUAUGUCGUUUUAAAAAUGAAUAGAUAAAUUUUUAGACAUUUCUAAUAACCUAUUAAAAAUCUAUUGCAAUUUUUAAAAUAAAAGACACAUCUUUAGACGACAUGAUAACCCUUUAAAAAUCUAAGGAACUCUUAAAAUGAAAAGACAUAUAAGUAAAAAGACACAUCAUUAGACAUUUUGAUAACCACUUAAAAACCAAUGCAAUUUUUAAGAUUAAAAUGCAAACCUUUAAACAUUUUUGAUUAAUUUUAUUAUUAUAUUUAUUUUUUUUCUCUAGUGGUAAGAAACAGUAUUUAAGAUACACACACCUCGCUUUUCUUUACUUUAAUUAGGGCAUGAUAAAAGUUAAAUGUCAUACGAUAAAUAGAUUUGUUAUAAUCACAAUGUAAGUAAUUUAGCAUUAAAGUACAGCAUCGUAAAAGAAAAAAAAUUAAUGAUAAGGUAUCAUCCGAUCGAGUACAUCAUUAUCGUAAUAAUUUACGAUGCCAUAAGCUUUAUGUGCCUGUCACUGUUUUCUUAUUUUUCAUUAGAAACAUAUUUCCGGGAAAUUGGUAGUGUAUAGAAAAAUAUAACAAGAAAACAUAGCACAUUACCGUUUCACAUGUUGGUCUCAAUAAAGAAACAUUUACAUCCAAGGUCACUUUUCAUCUUUUUAAUUUCAUAAUAGAACACUUGUUACUACCGAAACACUUUGUCAAGUCUUUCCUUUGUUACAAAAAAAAAACAUGAAAUUUCAAUCAUAUCCUUCUUUCUUAACCAAUUAUAUAAAUCAUAUUUUUUCCUCCUUCCACCACACCAUGUUCCUCUCCUCCGCCGCCAACCACUUAUCCCACAUCUCCUCCUUCUCUUCCUGUUACUUUUCAACCGUCUCCUCCCACACCGAUUAUUUUUCCUGAAUCCCCUACUCAAAACCCUCCACCGUCGAAUCCCUUAAGCAGCGGCGGAGGACGAUCUCCUCGAACUCCAUCUUCGCCGUCUCCUUCUUCCACUCUCUUCCUCAACCGUAUCCUCCUACACUUAUUACUCAUUGAUUGAAUACUCUAAAUUCUCCACCUUCAGUCUCAAGACCACCGUCGAAACCCUCAGAUAGCUGCGAAGGAGGAUCUCUUUGAAAUCCCUCUUCGCUAUCUCUUUCUUUGGAUGGGUUAUCAACAUGUGUGGUUUUUGGAAUCGCCAUACGAAGAGUCGCUUUGCUUAUGAUAGCAAAGAAACAACGAAGUUGAUUAAUAUGGUCCUCUUCCACCUACUCAUGGCCCCGAAUAUAUUAGUUUGUUAAAUUUUUGGAGGAUCUUACGGUGGACAAAAAUAGCAAUGGCGGCAACAAAACGCAACACCAUAGUCAGAUCGUGUUGUGACUUCACUACCACCACCUAAGCCUAUAGAAUCUCCGCUGAAACUUUGGGAAAGACUCUAACUUUCAAUGAGCAGAAGUUCGAAUGAACUCACUUACUUAUAUCCUCUUUGACGUUAGCUUCCUUGUUUCAGUCAUUUUUUGUGUUUGUUCCUUUAUAUGAACAUUUGGUGAUUGGAUCAUUGCAGGGAAAGUUCAGCUUUAAAAAUCUGAAUCACAACUGAAGGGAACAUUGGACUUCCACCUAUUAAUUUUGUUUGAAAGUACGGAUUUGUAAGCCUUUUGUAAGAAUUUAGUUCAAAUGUGUACGUGUAGAUACUGUGUAUAAGUUGUACAUGUGGAUAUCAUUAUUUGGUGUACAUGUGGAUAAUGAUAGAUGUGUUGUACAUAUGUUUUACAAUUUUUAAUCAUGGCAAUGGACGAAUCUGAAAAGAAUAAUGGACUUCUACCUAUUGUCAAUGAUGAUUUUUUUGGAGGGAGUUGGUUUUGCUUAUAGAAAGCUUUUAUCAA